AUCUCGAUCGUCGGUCAGAGAGGUCGACUUUUAAUUUUAGGUCUGGGUUCCUAUGAGACGCACGUCUCAAACGCCUUACGCCUCAGUGAGGAGUUCUUAUUGUCGCGUUUUUGUGAGAAAGGCGAAUCACGCAGGUUCAUUGAUGGGGAAAGGGGUUAUUCUCAUCUCUUGAACAUGCAGACGAUGCUAAGAGUGAGGCAACAAUACAUGAUGUCCCAAGUUUCUUUGCUUUAUGCUGUGAAGAACUCUGUGGGCCCUUGCUCUUGAAUCAUUCAGAAGUACUAGUAGAACAGGUAUAUUUUAGCGUGUUAUGAGUAAAAGAAACUGAAUAACGACACAAAUAAGCAAUGAGGACAAUAAUUCAAGCAAUUAUGAAGUUUUCCACUCCCUAAGUAUCUUUCAUUGAUAGUUUGUAGAUAUUAAUUUGUAUCCAUGCCAUUAAUUAUCA